AUGAGCUUCGCGGAUCUGGAGUCCGGGGCGCUGCAGGCGCCCCGGAGGGGGAGGGGCGCCGACGCCACGCGCGCGCUCGUCUUCCAGAUCACCACCGCGGUGUCCUCCUACCGCCGCCUCCUCAACUCGCUCGGCACGCCCAAGGACACGCCCGCCCUCCGUGAUCAGCUGCAGAAGACUAGUCAUAAAGUCCUGCAAUUGGCGAAGGAUGCGAAGGAGAAGCUGACGAGUGCUGCUGAAGCAGACAAGAGCACUGGAACUAGUGCAGACAAGCGGGUAGCUGACAUGAAGCUUGCCAAAGAUUUUGCUGCGACGAUGGAGGAAUUCAGGAAACUUCAGAAUCUUGCAAUUCAGAGGGAGAUGGCAUAUAAGCCGGUUGUUCCCCAGGGUGCUCAGCCAAGCUAUACUAUGAAUGAUGGAAGAUCUGAUUUUGAUAAAAUGCCUGAACAGCGCGCAUUGCUUGCAGAACCAAACAGGUUAGAGGUGUUGCAAUUGGAUAAUGAAAUUGUUUUCAAUGAGGCUAUCAUCGAGGAAAGGGACCAGGCGAUUCAAGACAUCCAACAGCAGAUUGGUGAAGUACAUGAAGCAUUUAAGGAUCUUGCUACGCUCGUGCAUGCGCAAGGAGGCGUAAUAGAGGAAGUCGACAGCAACAUUGAAAACUCUGCAGCCGCGACCAGUGAAGCGAAGAAAGAACUCGGCAAAGCGUCCAAGACUCAGAAGUCAAAUUCAUCCUUGUUUUGGCAUCUUGAGACACGAAUGCUUAGAAGCCUAUUGGUGCACCCUGAGGAGCCAUAUUACGUGCAAGAUUAA
rnacentral:rRNA from 1 species